CCGGCACCGCCGCGGCCACCGGCGCGGAGAGCGGCGGAAACUGCGCGGUUCCCACGGGCCGGGAGGAGCCCCCGCGCUGCUUCCGCAGCCGCGCAGAGAGCCAGGAGAGAGAUUCCUGCGGGAAUGAGCGCGGACAGUGAAACGACACAUUUUUGUUCUCCUGGUGGAUGGAGGCUGGCUGGGAGGAGCACGCCGCCGGUGCCUGGGCUGCCGCCGGAGCCGGAGGAGCGGGAUGCGCUCCGCGGGCAGCAGCAGCCUCCAAAGGAAAUCACUCAAGGGAAACUUCGCCAGAGACAAAAAAACCACAUUCAAUUUCCUGACUACUGCUUUCCUGUUCGAGUUAUUUAUUUUGGCAACCGCACGUUCAAUAAAUGAAAUAUUCAAUCAACUGGCCUCCGUGCCAGCUCA